UGUCACAUCACUAAUAAUUGAUGCAGAAUGUCACAUCUCUAAUAACCAAUAGAAAAUGAACAGUUUGUUUACGAAUUUCAAUACAUUACACAGAAGUUUAAAUAAUCUUUUUUAAUACUUAGUCGCAACUCCGGCAGCAGAAAUCACUUGGAAGUGUUCCAAUCAAGAUGCUGGAUGACGACUUCCACUCUUACCAUGAAGAAGCUAUUAAGUAUGGAUUUAACCAAGUACCUUUCUCAAAAGUAAAGGCCAUAACUUAUAAUAAAUCAAAUUGGAAUAUCAUGCAAUACAAAACCAGUUUCCUAGGGCCCACAACAUCAGUAGACAUAAAUAAACAAAAAAUUCAAAACCUAAGUGAUGUAAGUGUGAAGGCUCCUACAAGCACUGUUACACAAAGAUGUACAAAAGUAUUAUAAACUUAAUUAUGUAACAAUAAGCAUUCAACGUAAACCUAACAUGUGAGCAAAGUUAUUCUUUUAAAUAAAAAAUUUAAGAUUCAAA